UACGUAGGGGGCAAGCGUUAUCCGGAUUUACUGGGUGUAAAGGGAGCGCAGACGGCAGUGCAAGUCUGAUGUGAAAGCCCGGGGCUCAACCCCGGAACUGCAUUGGAAACUGUACAGCUUGAGUGUCGGAGAGGUAAGCGGAAUUCCUAGUGUAGCGGUGAAAUGCGUAGAUAUUAGGAGGAACACCGGUGGCGAGGGCGGCUUACUGUACGAUGACUGACGUUGAGGCUCGAAAGCGUGGGGAGCAAACAGGAUUAGAUACCCUGGUAGU
rnacentral:rRNA from 1 species